rnacentral:lncRNA from 1 species
GACUCGGUUAAGGAUAUGGGCGGCAGUCUCUAAGGCAUACCCCCAAAAAGAGAUAGAUAGUGAAGCACAACUCAUCAUAGAGCGAACCAUGUCUAACAAGGUUCGAUUACGCCUUUCUGCCACACCAUUCAACUGUGGUGUCCUAGGUGGUGUCAAUUGCGAAACUAUUCCACAUCCUUGAGAUAAUCGUGGAAUUCAAGACUUAGGUACUCUCCUCCUCGAUCGGAUCGAAGCAUCUUGAUUUUCCUGCCCAAUUGAUUCUCCACUUCAUUCUUGAACUCUUUGAACUUUUCAAAAGUUUCCGACUUUUGCUUGAUUAAGUAGAUAUACCCAUAUCUACUAUAGUCAUCGGUAAAAGUCACAUAGAAGCGGUUCCCAUCCUUCGUGGUUGAUCUAACGGGUCCACAUACAUCGGUAUGUAUUAGGUCCAAUAGACCCUCACCCCUUUCACAUGUACUUGUGAAGGGUGACUUAGUCAUUUUUCCAAGUAAACAAGACUCACAUGUGUCAUCUUCCAUAAGGUCGAAUGAAUCCAAUACCCCAUCCUUUUGGAGUUGGGCUAUGCGCUUCUUGUUGACAUGUCAAAGACGACAAUGCCACAAGGAUGCUCUAUCCAUACCAUUAGAAGAAUCCAUCCAUAAAUCAUCAUUUCCUAAGUUAUCUACAAUCAUAACAUUAUAUUAAUAUAGGGUUGGAUUUUAAACUUGUAAAAUUCUAGGUUUUGAAAUUUAAAUUGUCUAAAUUAAACUUUUAAUCAAAACAUAAAUUUCAAAACUUGAGGGCAAUUUUUAAACUUUUAAAAAUAUAGAGGAUCAAAUAACAAAUAAUCUCAAUUAACAAUUAAUUACAUAAUUAUCCAUAUUUGAUUUAUUUAAUUAUUUCUUGCAAAACAAUUUACCAAUUUAUUAAAAUAAAUAAUCAAUUAUCACAUAAGGAAAAAAAUAUUUUAUUAAUUGAUAAAUAUCUUCAAUUAGGUCAAGAAUAUACUCCUAUAUAUCAUAAAAACAGAUUUAUAUUGAUCUAAUAUGAUAAAGGCAAGUAUCUCAAAGAUCAACAGCAAGAAAUCCCGAAUAUGGCUCUUUCUGACGCUCGAACUCGCCGAGUACCCAGAUGGACUCGCCGAGUUGAGGCUACUCGCCGAGUAUCACCAUGGGACUCGCCGAAUUCAUCAGGCAGAGGACAAAAAAAAACAAUUUCUUCAGCAACAAACAAGCAAUCAAAGUAUCAAUUCAAUAUAAACCAAUCUAUGCUCUGAUACCACUGAUGGGUUUUAGCCAUAUGAACAUUCCUAUGUGCAAAUGCAACCCUAAUGCUUGGAUCUAGGUUUCUCUAAUUGAUCAUACAUUGAAUCCAAGACUUCUAAUGGCUAGUAUACACUAACAACAAUAUGAAAUCAGAGAUUAGAAGUUUACUUUGAAUCACUUGCUUGAUCUUGUUGUCCUUGAGGCUUUAGAGUCACAAUUGUCACUCCUCUAUUGGCUUACAAACACCAACUAGCAAGAAGAUGAUUUAGGAGAGAGGAGAGGGAAUCAAAUCGGUCAGGGUUUCUACUCAAAACAUAAGUCAUGAAUUCCCUUAGCCCUAGGGGUCUAUUUAUACUUGUAAGGUUCCUAAGGUUUCACCCUUAAACCCUAAUUGGAUAACUUAAGCCCUAAGCAAUCCGAUUCCUUUUCAAUGAUAAGCCUUGGACGAUUUUAUGGCUAUCCUUAGCCCUAGAAAUCGUCCACCCCUUAUCCGUAAAGGAUAUAUAGCCCAAAGUGCAACUAUCAAACAAUUGACAGUUUAUACCCCUUUAUUUAAUUAAUCUCUUUAAGUCACCAAAUUAAUUCCUAAUUAAUUUAUGACUUAUAUUAAUCAAAUAACAAUAUUAUUAUUCCUUAUAUUAUUCUUAUAAUAUAUUAAUAAUAUUCCUUCUCUCAUUAUAAAUCANGUAUCAUGUUGCUAUGGUGAAGGCAACCCAAAAGGACCAUGCGCAAUCGGAUCAAAUACUUGCUUAAUAUAGUUGCAGCCUUAGACACUAUUCUAACAAUGAUAUAUAGAAUAGAGGAAUAUAUGAUCCCUUAUCUAAUGGACAAGUCACUGACAAAGGUCAGAGUUCAUCGACAAGGUCAGAGUUCGACCGAUGCUUUUUAGAGAUACGAUUGCUUAUCGGUUCCUGAAGUCAUACACAAUAAUAGUUUUAGAAUUAUCCAAGUGGGUGACUGUUGGAUUAAUGUCUAAGUCCAUAACUAUUAUUGGUAAGACUUGACCCGACCCGGCAUGGUCCAUUUAGGUUGCAUGGCAUCAUGCAUUUGGAUAGACUAUAAUGAGAGAAAUAACACUUAAGGUUUGUUAAUAUAUUAUAAGUUCUAAUAUAUUAAUAAGAUUAUUUAAUUAGUAUUGAUCAAGAAUUAAUCUAGGAUUAAUUAAGUGAUCAANACUUAAGGUUUGUUAAUAUAUUAUAAGUUCUAAUAUAUUAAUAAGAUUAUUUAAUUAGUAUUGAUCAAGAAUUUAUCUAGGAUUAGUUAAGUGAUUAAAAGAAGACUAAUUAAAUAUAUGGGUUGAUUGUGUAAAUCAUCCAUACUUGUAUAGUGGGCUAAGACUCCAUGGAUUAUCAAGUUGUGCUAAAACCCAUAGGAUGCUCCAUGGAUGCUCCAUGGUGUAUUUGAACCCAUGGAUCCAAGGAAAUGGAAAGCCAUGACAAUUAGAGUUUACCCUAAUUUUCACUAACUAUAUAAGCAUCUUAUUGUUGACAAAAUCGGGCACGAAUGAGUGAUAGAAAGGGCUAGCCGGUUUUUAUGAAGUGUGAAGUUCUCUCAAGUCAUUCCAUGUGCAUUUGGUGUUGUGUGAACCAUUUGAGGUGUCACACUUGGGCACUAGGCACUCAAGCUUCAUGAAGACAAGCUACAUCAAAAUAAGGUAUGUAUUAUAUCCAUUUGAUUACCCAAGUAUUGUAUGCUAGAUAGGGUAAUACCUUGGAAAGUUCAUAUUUUCAUGUAUAAUAGAGAAAACAUAGAUCUAAGGUAUUUAGGGAUGCAUAUACACUUAGGAGUGUUAGAAUGCUCAAAACCCAACAAGAAGGUUGAGAACUUGAGAUCGUUGAGACUUGAGAGAAUUGGGAAGGAACAAAACUUAUAAAAUCAAGAAUUGCCACUAGUGAGGUUGCGACUUGGAGAAGGGGUAUGUCCGACUUCACGCUUGGAUUCUAAUGAUCGAAGAUUCGAAGAUAUAUAAUCUGCGUCUUAGGAAUACGUAGUUAUGGGUCGGGACGAAAAAUCUAAGCUGUUGAAGACUCAAAGAAAAUUAGCAAAGCCGACUAAAUUGAAAUUUUUUAAAGCGGGUCCAAGCGGUUCUAAACCCGGUAAAAACCGGGCAGAACCGGGAAAAAUACCGGACUGGUUUGAUGAGAUCUUAGAACCGAGAACCGGCCCGGGGGUCCAAAAAACUAGUCCAAAUGAUCACCCCUAUAUAUAUNNNNNNNNNNNNNNNNNNNNNCUAGAAACAAAAUAAUCUAACCACACACACACACACACACAUAUAUAUAUAUAUAUAUAUAUAUAGAAAAGUGAAUAUGAGGUUGUUAUGUACCUAACAUUAGGUGCGGAACCAUUCAAAACUACGUCGUUUUGAACUAAAAUAUAACUACUAAUCUCUAAUUACUCCAAAACCUUGAUUUUAGGUUUAUACUUUAGAGUACUUUUACCCAAAUUUUCUUAUUAUAUGUACGACAUAAAUCUUUAUAUUUUUAUAGUAUUUUGGUUUACACCAUUAUCACCCUUUAAAUGAUGAAUUGUUUAUUCUGAAUUUAAAUCAUCAAUACUUCAAUUUAUGUGGAAAAAAACCACAAACAAUCUAAUUGAACCAUUGCCUUCUGUUGCGAAAUUGUUUUGUAAACAAUAAUUUUGAAUAAAGCUCCUAUUUUGUUGAUGGAUAUACAUUGGAAGGCAUAGACGUAUAUAUAUUUGGAAAUGGGUUAUAUAAAAGGAAAAUAUUUUAUAAUAUUCAAGUAAAACUACGUCGUUUUGAUUGUUCCACACCUAAGUUUAGGUAUAUAACAGCACAGUUUUCAUGAUUUAUGUGUAUUAAAUGUGAGAAAAAUAGAAUAAAUAGUAAACAGAUUAAAUAGUUCUUCAAAAACAUGUUACAGUUGUUAUAAUGUAUACAUGAUGGGAAAAAUAUCGAAAUCAGUUUUUAGAUAAUGUAACCUCUUGGACUGGCCCAAUACCUGGGCGAGUUGGGCAUAGGCUAGGGACAACAAAGAGGAGUGGGGCAUCAAUUUUGUCCAAAAUAUUAAUUUUAUAGGUAUUUGGCCCAAUUAGCUCAGCAUCUCCGAUAAACUAUGAGUGCUUCGUCUAGUUCCCAUCUUCCCAAUCGUCGCCUAGAAAGACGAGAAGACGAUUGGUUUUUCAAAUCUUCGAUUGGUUAAGAGACACUUAUUCGGAUAUGAAAUGGAUACCUCUCUAGAUUUUUCUCAUACACCAGAACUGUAAUUUCUAUAAACUCUGAUCUCUUGUCUCUCGAUUUCUGCCAAGAACACAAUUUUUUUUUUAUUUUUUGGAUACCCUUUCCUCUUCUAAUUUCUAUGACUCUAUCGAUAUUUGUAUUCUAUAUGAUCUAGCACUCAAAAGUGAUGUACUGGAAGUAUUAUCCUAUUGUUUAGUUCUUAUUAUGAAUGAUCUUGCCCCUGUUGCUACAGAAUUACCUGGUUCUCAAUUUGUUGCACAACUUUUUUCGAGAUGUCAUUUUUUCCUAAAGUUGUGGUAACUUUUUGUGUUUAGAAUUUUACCUAGGUGCAAGGAAAUUUUUGACUCAUUUUGGUUGAUUUGGAUUUAAAGUUGUUUCCCAUGUAUGUCAUUGAAAUUUGCCAAUCUAGAUAAUUCUUCCCUUGAUGCUCUAGCCCAUGUUCAUAGAGGUGUAUUUAGUCUAUAUUUUCAAUUUGAAGUGAUAUGGAGUUUGGUUUCAAGGAAUAUUGAAGGGAUAACUUGGCUUUCCGACUAUUCCCCUAUAGAUGAUUUCCAUGUAAAGUUGAUUGCCUAAUUGGGUGUUCCUCCAAUUAUAAAAAAUUUGGUGCCGAAAAAAUUCUUUGUUCCCAGUUUUGAUAGUCGAUUUAAAGAAUAUAUGUUUUGGUUUUGAGAUUAUGUUAAAAAUGGAUGAAGACAGUGACAAAUUUUGGUUUCUAAUUUUAAUUUAUGAUAAUGAAGGUAGGGUAGUAUGUUUGUCAAAUUUUAAUGUAUAUAGUUUUUAUUUUGCUGCUUCACAGUCCACUAUUUUGUUUGAUGUAUAGUUCUAACUUACUAUUUUAAAUCAAUUACUUUAGGAGUAACCAGGUAACACUAAAGAACUUGUUGAUAAUGCUAAUGUUUACUAUGAUAUAAUAAUUUUCUUUGAGUCACCGAAAGCACAAAUACAAUGUUUUACUGAUGUUUGCACAUUUCCUCAUAUCGAUAUUCAUUUGUUUGAAAAAAGACACUAGUUAAUUUAUGUUUUAUAUACAUUUAAAUAUUUUAAUACAAGUAUCGGGGAAUUAUUAAUUUUUUUCACCCUGUCCAUUAAAAAGCUAUGGGCCGGUCCUAGUAACCUACUUUUAUGAUUUUUGUGUAUUUAUUCUAGAAAAAUGCGAAUAAAUAUCAAACAGUUUAGAAAAUUUCAUAAAGUUCUUUUUUAUGUUUAAACUGUAAUACAUGAUGUUAUAAUGAUUUCUUGUGAUUUUUAGAGUAGAUCAACUAUUUUUCCAUAAAUUAUUCUCAUAAAUAAGCAUUAAUUCACGAAAAAUUACUAAACAGUAAGGAAAAUUCACCAAGCUUUGUAUUUAUGAUUAAUAUGUAAUAUAGGAUAUUCUGAUGAAGUCUUAUAAUUUUUGGAUAAGUGUGACUAUUUUUCAUCAAUUUAACCCUUUAAAUAUUCAUCAAAUCGAAUAUGGUUUUGGACAUUUCUGACUAUAUUUUACUUUUUUAUUUCUCUCCAAUAAAAAGAAAAUGGAAACAAAUAGAAAACAGCCUUUGAAACGCAUGCAACAUCAUAAAAAUGUUUUUAAUCAAUUUAUGGGUAGUCUACAAAUUUUCUCAGAAUUUAUUGACCGUAAAAAGUAUAUUAUAUGAAUUAUUGCUCUAUUUUCUUAAAAUACCUAUAAUAAUUCGAGAAAAGAAAGUUAUUUUUUAAAAAUUUCUGGAACAUCUCAUUUUGUUGGUGAGGUUCUAGGAAAAAUCAGAUUCGUGUUAAAAAUUAGUGUUAGAUAGGUUGGUGGAUUUAAAUCACUUCAUGCAUGAGUUCGAACCUUUUAACAACAUGCUUUCAUCAUUAGACAUUUUAGGCUUGAAGAUCAACACAUGCAUGUUGGUUUAAGGACAUGCAUGAGUUUGAAAAGUCUAAAAAUCAUUUUUUAAGGUUAACCUUGGUUUAUGUUGUGAGCUUUCCAUCAAAACUAGUGUAAAAAUGAUUUACUUUGAUUUUGACAUAGGUUUGGAUCAUGGGAUUUCACCAUUUGCAAAAUGCAUGUUGUUUCUAAGUGGCAUCCUACCACCACCAUCAUGAAAAUCGUUGUUAAGGUAUAUAGUUCAAAAUCUUUUCAUAGAAUUGAGUAGAAGCAGAGAGAAAUGCAUAAAAUGGUGAAAUUAUGAGUGGAAAUGAAAGGAGAAUGCUUGGUUUUCGUGAUUACCUUAAGGAGAGCACGUGAAGAAGAGCACUUGAAGGAGAUGAUUUUUGGUGUGGAAAGAGCUUCUUGGAUGCUCAUUUUCAUUAGUUAGAGAGAGAUUUGAGAGAUAAUGUGUUGUAGGAGCGAUAGAAAAUGAGAGAGGGCGCGAAAUUUUUUUGGAGUGCAAGAGAGGUUAAAAUGAUUAGGAGUGUUAGGAAGGGGAAGGAUGUCUUGGGAGAGGCGACGUUGAGUUUUUGAGGUUAUUAGUGGGUCUCCUUCUCACUUAUUUAUUUUAAAUAUAAUCCCUUCUAGUUUUUUUAUAAAUUCUCCAUAUUUUUUUAUAAACUAUGCAUUAACCUAGUUUUCUUUUAACAAAAUCUUGACAUUUAACUUGUAGAUUAGGGUUAAAUGUUGAUAAUUAAAUUUAUCUUUCCUUGAUUAUAUUUCCAAAUUUUUACUUAAUUUAAAUUGAUCUUAUAAAGUUCAUAAUAAAUUUUAUGGAGUUUUAGAUAAUAAUGUUUAUAAAUUUUGGAUUUUAGUGUUUUUUAAUGUUUUGUGAUUUUGUUAGUUAUUUAACAACAUACUGAAGUGAAAUUAAAAGAUUUUAAAUUUACUUUAGGGUUUCAUAACCUUUUCCAACUAUUAACAUAUCCGUCAGGGAAAACGUCAGAAAAAGGAGAAGUCAAACUAUUGCCAAGAUUGGCUUGGUUAGAAUGUAGUCGUAUCUAGUCUGGGGCCAAGGCCGAGCCUUCGCCAACGCGGAGUCAUUGGAAUGGCGGUUAAGGGGCAGAACUACACCUCGCCCUCUGAACCUAGAAAUAACAACUUGGCAAACAUGUGACCAAUCAGAGUGUUCCACUUGCCCAUCUAACAAUAGCCAUAAUCAUCGUAAUAUCGAAGAUUUCUGUCUAGCCAAUGAGGCGACGAUUCAAUAAGGCAUGAUGAGGGAUCCUUCAAUAUGGACCCGCCAUGUCAUGUCUCACGAGGGAAGGCUCAACCAAAUUAGUUAGGAGGCACGAACCUCAUAAUCAGUUAUAAAAGGACCAUUUUUCCUCAUGCAGAGGGGGACGAAACUCUUUUUCCUCAGAUUUACAUUUUCUUCUCUCAGAAUCCACUCUAACUUGAUCGGCGGAGCAUUGUCUUGUGAAUCCCUCCCAUACUUCGACUAACUAUCAUCUUUCUCUUUUCUAUUUUGAUAUUAGGAGAAAGAACUUGCACAACUCUCACCCUCGAUCUCAAUUCAUCCAUCUCCGACAUAUCACAACAUUUGGUGCCAUCCGGACGUAUCUCCAGAACGAGACAUCCAUGAAGCACAAACAAAGAGAAAAAAAGGCAGGCGGAAUUCCGACGACUUCAAGAACACCGGAAACGAGCCCAGUAUGUCCAAUGCAGCCAUUGGACGAAGGGCAACUUCCCACCUAGGUAGAGUACGCUUCAAAUUGCAAGCCAGUCUCGCAGACACUAUCCAACUUUGCUGCUGAAACGAAAACAACCUACAUUGCUAGUCUAUGGCGCCCAACUGCUAACCCACCUCCAUAAGCAACAAUGGUAACCACAACUCCACAAAUUGUAGUAACACAACAAACAGAGAUACCUAUUUCAGAGCAAAAAUCGUUUCCAUACACUUCGGGCACCGGAACCUGGAUCACUCACAAUAUUCAACCGCAGUCACAAUAUUCAUCCAUAGUUUACCCACAUGCUACCAUGGCAGGCUUGCCCCACAUGUCGUUGUUCGUACACCAACCACCGAUCUUCAACCCGUUCCCUGAACAGGCCCAUGUUCAGUCCCAGAAGUGUCUCAACCGUAAGUCACAGAUGUGCAAACGUCAAUCAACCAGGAAUCCAACUCCUAUGGACUUGGCGUUCAUUUCUCGGUAACACAUGAAUUCAACCCCUUCAUGGUGGCCACUCAACCAUUCAUUCAGUUUAUGCAACAGUACACAGGAUCAAACCCAUACAUAGUUCACCCGACUGGAAAUACGCAUUCCAGCAAUUUGGAUUGCAGCCAAACGUACAACAAUAUCAACCGUACAUCUCGCCGGUGACCAUGCACAACUAGAUGUACGUGAGUCCCUACUAGACGAAAAAACAUGCGGCAUGUGGCAGUAUGUCAUACUCAUACAUGGACAACCCCAUGCGAAGUGCAAGCUCCAAUUUCAGCCAAGAACUGUUCCAAUACGAGAUUCCGCACACUGCGCUGAUACUGAACAUGCCAAAGUAAGACGGUACUACUGACCUGGAUGACCACAUCGACAACUAUAAAGGGACAAUGAUAUCUCUUAAGAUGGAUCGUCGCUUCACCUGCACCUAACAGAAAAUGGCACCAAGUGGUUCAAGCCUCUGAGGCCAGGCAGUAUCUCGAAUUUUGAGCAGCUGGAAUAGCUUUUCCUCAACACCUUCAUGUUGUUGAGGAAAGGAAAAUCAUACGGCAACUUUGUGAUGUCAUGUAAACAAAAAGAAGGAGAUUCGAUUCGUGACUAUUACGAUCGAUAUAUGCUUGUUGGGAUGAAAAUCCUUAAUGAUCGAUUAGAUUCAAACAAGUAAGUAAAGAACACAAAUAUGAUCAAACAGAUGUUGAAUGAUUAAAAGUCAUUCCCCAGAUGAACUCGAUGAAGAAUUUCAACUGUAGAUGCAUGCUAUGGUUUACAAAAUAUAUCUUAGCUAAAAAUGUUAACAAUCUACGGUACAUGCGUUCACUAUUAAUACCUAAACCCUAAUUAAUGUGACGGCUGGACAAGCCCAAUACCGUGUACAAAAUGGAUUAACUAUUACAAGCCCAAUGAAACAACUUUAACACCCAACAAUCUCCCCCUUUGCGUCAAUUAUGGCGAUAGAUGCUUCACUGUUGACUCUUCUUUAUGGUCUUGAAGAGCUUGGGUAUCAGAACGAGAAGAGUACUGCAAAACAAGAUAUACCACCGGAUCAAGUCAUCGAAGUUCUUCUUCGCACCAGCAUCAGUCAAGCUACACUUGUUGACAAUCUCCAAAAUAUGUUCUAGGCAAGUUGUGGAGAAUAAGUGUUUGUCAGGUAAAGCGAAGAGUCACUUUUGGAAAGUUCCAGGAACAUCAGUCCCAUGCUGAAACAUCAUAGUUAAGUGGACUGUAUCAAUCUUACCCAUACUCAUUUCGCUCAUAUCACUAGGCUUUCCAAUCGGAUUAACAGUGGACUUUCGCUUCAAAACUUUAGCAAUUUCAAUGUCAAUCUUUGCCACUUCAUAUAUAUAUGAAACCAAUAUUCUCUUUAAUUGAGCCGAAUGGAUUCAUAAUCUUGCUCUUUAGUCAGUAGUAGGUUGAGCAACAAAAUCCAAUCAUCAGGAUUAAGAUUGGGUAGUUCAGCAAGCAUGAACUCAUGCAUAACAUUUUUUGAACCCCUUGUCGCCUUGAACUUCACAUUCACAAAGCCUCCUAUAGCAAUUGGCCCUAUCACCUUGACUGAUGUUAACUUCUGAGCACUCCAAAUCAAAUACUGAGGUUCGCCAUGAGUGAGAUAAAAGUCAAUCAAGGCUUUAUCCACUUUCACGUCUGGUGAGGGAACUGUGGCAAUGGAAUCAAAACAGUAAAAAAUGACAGCUCUUCGUGUUAUUGGGAUAUCGAACUGAGAGUCCUUCAUGUUUGUCAGGUCGAAAGAAACAACUGGCUCCAACCAAUGAACACUUGUAAAUUCCACUGCCUCAUGCAUCUAUCGCUCCAACGUCCAUAAUGGAAAGAACAUUUUCUGCUCUCCAAAGUGUCAUGAGCUUCUUUUUCUUGUCUUUCCUUCUCCUCAUCUUCUCUCGCAAUGCGAGCACUUUCGUUUAGCUUAUGGUCAUGAGCCUUUCGCUUUAGCCUAUUUUCUUCAGUUUCAUCUUCUUCCUCAUCAACAAACAUCAGAUCUUUCCUUUUGGAACCCGAAGCUACGUUACCCUUCAGUUCUUUUUUGUUUUUAGGUGCUUCCCCCGUUUUAGUAGCUUUAUCUUCUCCCACUUGUUUCGUAGGGACAGGGGUGUCAAGAACACCUUCAAGUCUGUUAAGAAGAGCGAGAGCAAGGCAGAGCUUAUCAACCAAAUGUAUACGAAUAGUGAUGGUCAGAAUAAGAUCAUGGGCUUAAAGCAGAUUUGACAGUAACUCAUUCACGUCUCCCAUGCCUUGUUUAAGAAUAACUCUUUCAGAUUUAAGCUCCUCGAUUUCUGUCUUCACGUGCUUCAGCUUGAUAGUUUGAGUGCAAUGUUGAGUGGUACAAAGAGCGAGUUCAUCCAUGACUUUACAUUCAAGAGGCAGAUCGUCUUGAAACUUGGUGAGCCUCUAGGAAAUGGAAGAGUGAAAGUUUGUGCUAUCAUUAGAGAUACCGGAAUGAAGUUGUUCUAGUUUCUCCCUUUCAGAGCGAAGGUAAGUGUUGAGCUUUGCAAUCACAUCAGUUGCCUUAUUAGCAUUCGCUUCAGCUGCAAUAUGAAGCUCAAUCAUAAACUUCUUCAUUUCUGAGAUUAGUUUAUUGAGUUUUUUGGUCGCUUGUUCACUAGAAAGUGUGGAGUCCUCAACAACCUUGUUUUCUUGUGCAAGGUUAGGUGCAUGCUCUUUCACCAGAUUAUCGAGUAUACCCUUAGCUGUUGCUUUAGAUAAGGCUUGGAUGGAGUGAAAGGGGCAUCAUCAUCACUCUCUUCUUGUAUCGAGAACGAAAUAUAAUGAAAAGUAUCAAAAUCAAGUCCCUAAGCCCCUAGAAAGUCCUCUGAACCAUGUGAAUGUUGAGGAGAAAUGGAGGAUGUAGUGAUAGUAGUUGCAAAACCUAAAGUCUUUGCCCCCGCAUCAGAUAUUAUUAGGCGGUUCGAAUGUGGUGGUAGUAGUGGUUGUUUUAGUGAAAAUGGUUGGUUAUUGAGGAAAAGAAGUCGGUGGUUCAGUAGUAACAGGUGGUUGAGUGGUAACGGAUGGUUGAGUGGUAACAAGUGGUUGAGUUGUAAUAGGUGGUGGUCAAGGUGCAAUUGUAAUAGGAACAGAUGUGGAAGUGGUGAUGGUGGAGGGGAUGGGACGAAAUUUACCUCUUGUUCAUUUCAGUGGAUAUCAUCCUCAGAUUCGUCUUGAUGUGCAUCAUCCAAUUUGCUUUCAAAAGAAGUUGAGGAAGGGAUGCGAAUCUUACGAACUUGGCUCUUCACUCUCUUUCGCUUUGGGGAUGAGGGAGAAGGCUUGGAUGAAUCACCUUUUAUCUUCCACCUUUUGGAAGGCAGAGUUAGGGUAGAAGGACCCUCUUUUGUCUACUUUGGUUUUCCCCCUUUCUUGACCUUAUCAGCCUCAUCAAGAGUCUGUUGCAUCUAAGGAGUAAGAACUUUUGGUCCUGAGGCUGUUCAUUUCUUGUAUUCCCCAAUGAGUUUUCUUGCUCCCGACACAAACCUGUACAUGGAUUCUGGAAUAGAACCCACAAAAGUAAACUUUGAGUUGUUAGAAAAUAUGAUCUUUAUAGUGUGAAAUGUAGCAAUCGAAGACUUCAACGAUUCUGCCAUGACUGGAAUGUUGAGCGUCGCAAUUUCCCGCUAUACUACUAUCGUCCAAAACCAACCCAUGGAAAUUUCAGUGUGGGGUGUGGUUGAGUUUGUGCUUUGCACCAGUUGAGCCCACAAAACUGAACCAUAGUUGAGGAUGAUCAUAUGGUAGAGGCCAUAAAGGAUCGUCAUGAAGAAUUUACUCGUGCAAUCUGAACAAAUGACCCUUUCAAAAAAUGCUUUGAAAAACAAGGGUAAAGAUACCAUUCCACGAUGGAGGAAGGUUAGAUUUAUUGAGCUUUGUCAUGGAGGGGAUGGAAUCUGUGUAUCCCAUAUGAUAGAACAUGUCGAUGAUUUGUGCAGUGGAGAUCGAAUCUGGGUUUAUCAGUGAAUCAUCAUGACCAAGCCCUAGAAGAGAGCAAUAUCUACCCUUCGUAAGUGAAGUUUUCUUCUCAAAUACUUCAAAAUUGAUCCUUUCCUCCUCCUUGACUUAGGUUGCAGUAGAAUAAGCUUUGGACAGCAGUGACAUUGGAACACAUUUGACCUAGGUUAGAGCGAUGACCAAAGGUGAAUACUUCAAGCAUUCUACAAUCGGCAACAUAAAGGCAUCGUAUUUGAACGGAGCUAAAUUGAGAAUCAAAUUUUGGUUCUGUUUGAUUGUGAGGAGAGAGGACUGAGUAGUUUAUUCUUGAAUCGAAGAAGAGUUAGCCAUUGUUGUGGGUUUGAGAAGGAGAUGAACAGUUGAGAUAGAAAGCGCCGUUUUGGGUUCGUAAUUUCUUCGAGAGUGAUAAAGGUUGAAUCGUCAAUUGAAUUAAGUAUUUAUAGUGAGAGAGGGAAACCAAGCAACGAUUGCAUGACGAUCUCCGAUUUGACGCCUAGAAAAGUGGGAUUUGACAACUGUAGCGGCUGACAGGUUGUCAUGAUGACAUCAGGCGGCGUGAGAAUUGCAAUUGCUUCAAAUUCUACGCACCUUUUAUUUCAAGAUCUUAUCUUCAAUUGCUAGGUCAGAUACUUUUAUCCCUUACGUUUCAAAGUCCUUGAUUUCUUUUAAAUGUACAAGCACCUUUCGCUUUUCAGAAACGAAAGUCAGAAGUGCACAGAAAAGCGAAUCUGUGAAACUGAAAAAUGCCAUAAGUGUCAUGAACUAAACUUUUUGAAAAUCAUAAAGAUCUUCAUGCAAGAGUGUGCCAAAGAUAAGGAUAUAAAGCAAUGUAUUUCAAUGGGAUUAAAGUGUUGUCAAUAGAGACAUGAAACUGUAGAUCCCGGGCACGAAUCUCUUCUUUAUAAGUCAAGAGACACGAAGAAGUGUCUGUGUGGAUUCUCGUUAAGUACGAUCAUUUUUUUGUUAAGAAACAAUGAAAGGAAUCUCUUAAAGUUAGGCUGAAAAGGUGGUUAAAUCUCCAAUCAAAUAGCGAACUUGACAUAAGUUCGAGCAGUUGAUGAAGUACUCGUGUGACCAGUGUAUUCAGUUGAACGAGUAGGCUAGGAAUUAUUUUAGUGACUAAGCAAAACUUUGAUAUCUAAAAAAAAAAAAAAAAAAAAAAAAAUUGGAUCUUAUGGGUAGAAAAGACUUGGUUUUAGAACAAUUCAUAAAGAUCACGCAAAAAGAAAAAGAGAUUUCAUGGUACACUCCAUCGAUUUAAAAAUAUAGCACUCUCAUUGAUUCACCGUCAAUUCAUGUAAGGGUGUUGAAUGUUGGGUUUCACGUAGUUCGUGGUGAACGAAGCUAAGAUCAUGAAAUCAGAUGUUUUGUAACCAUAAACCUCAGUAGUAUAGCUGAGAGUCUCAAAGGUUACAUGUAUGAGUAUGAGGGUAAAUGGAGAAAAGUGAAGGUGGCUCCAGAGAUGUAGAUGUGCCUCUGCUACGCGAAUGCGACCAAGCAUAUAACUCUUAACUCAGAAAGAGAAGAGUAAGGUAGCUUGUGACUAAUGUGAAUAUAAUAGCCUAGUUGGUAAGAAACGAAUGGUAGAUUCGAUUCAUUAAGGCUUUACAUUAAGUCUAUUGAGACUUAGGACAACAUGCAGCAACAUGCUUCUAGGGACACCUAGCGAGUACAAAGAUAUGGAAAUUAUACCUACCCCCAUCAUUCGUUUCUGCAAUGUAACCUGAAAUGGUACUCAUAGAAAAAUAUUAAAUGAGAAAACAAAAUAUUUUUGUAUUUUAAUAAUAUCUGAAAAAGAAGAAAUAAAACACAAAAAAAAUAUUUUUAUAUUUUAGAAUUGAAAGAAUAAAACUUAAAUAAAGCAAAUAUUUUUGUAUUUUGAAAAUUUUUAAUAAAACAAAACGAGUGUAAUAUACAACAUAUACAAAGAAUAGACCACGAGAGUUCGCCUUAAAAAAAAUUUAGACACGAAAUGGGGUGAACGUUCUGAUGGGUUUUAGCCAUAAGAACUUUCCUAUGUGCGCAUGCAAAACCCUAAUGCUUGGAUCUAGACUUUCUAAUUAAACAUGCUUUGAAUCCAAGACUUCUAAUGACUAAUUAGGUUAAAUAACAACAUUAAAACUGAUCUAGAACCAUACCUUUGAAUUCCUUGUUGAUCUUGUUGUCUUGGAGCUUCUAGAGUCACAAUUAUCACUCCUCUAAUGUCUUACAAACACCAAUAGCAAGGAAGAUGAUUUAGGAGAGAGGAAAGGGGAGGAAAUCGGCCAGGGUUCUCUUAGUUUAGGUGAGAUGCCCAUUUGCCUUGGCUAUGGGGUCUAUUUAUACUUGUAGACUCCAUAAGGGUUACAACCUAAGCCUUAAUUGGAUAAUCUUCUCUUAAGGCUAUCAAAAUCCUUUCCUUAGAUAAGCAAUGGAUGAUUUUGAAGCUAUCCUAGAUUCUAGAAUCCGUCCCUUGUAUAUCUAUAAGGAUUUACAGUCUAAAGCUUAACUAUUAAACAAUUGACAGUUUAUACCCUUUUAUUUAAUUAAUCUCUUUAUGUCACCAAAUUAAUUCCAAUUAAGUCUAUGACUUAUAUUAAUCAAAUAACCAUAUACUAUUCUUUAUAUUAUUCUCAUAAUAUAUUAAUAAUAUUUACUCUCUCUUAAUAAAUCAUCCUAUCAAGUUGCUAUGGUGAAGGCAACCCAAAAGGACCAUGCACAACCGGGUCAAAUACUUGCCUAAUAUAGUUGCAGCCUUAGACACUAUUCCAACAGUCUCCCACUUGGAUAAGUCUAGUAACUAUAUGCACAAGUACAAUUCGGUUUGCAAUCGUAGCUCUCAAAGACGCUGUCAAACUCUGAUCUAAUCAAUCUUGUCCUUUAGAUAAGGGAACGUACAGUCCUCUGUUAGAUAUCAUGCUGACAAUCCUAUGGAAUGGUUAGUCAAGCAUUUAGGUUUCUCGAUCUCUGAUUUAUUUGACAUAGAACUUAAUCGAACACAUCAAUUCAGUUCUGACCGGGCCCGGCACAUAAGUCAAAUCAAAUCAUCGAGCGGCCGAGAUAUCGCUUUUACCUUCUUAGAUAAAAGUUACAGAUAAACUUCGACUUAUAUGCAUUUACUUAUUCAUUAACCAACUAUACACAACAAUGCGUUUUAUAACACCGAGUUACUGAUGCGUUUUCGCAUUAUCAAUGUACAAUCAAUUAACAAAUAACAAACCAUAUAUCUAGGUUUUAAGACUAUAUGAUAUUAUCGUCUUGCGAUCACCCUUUUAUAUCAUAUUCCAUAAGGUGAUUCCAGCAAGCGCGGGUUUGUUCCAAUGCUCAAAACUAGUUCAUAAGCACUCAUGAACGUUGCAGCAACCCUUUGCUAUGUCUAACACCAUUUAGACAAUCUACACACCAAUUCAUGACAAUCUUCAUUCAUAUCUACUUCCAACAUAUGAACGAUUGUGGACAAUUUGAACAAUUCGAUUAUUCCUAAUAAACUCAAUUAUUCUGGAAGUCAAAACAUGCAAAGUGAAACAAUAGCUAAACAAUUAACAUAAGAUAGUAACAUUACUCAUAAAUAAAACUCCUUUAUUUAAUCAUCAAAUGUUAAUUACAUUUAUCUAUUACACGUUUCUAAUACUAUCUAAUCUAUGCUAAUAUCAUCCUUCAGCCCAAUACUCCUAGCAUGCUGCAAGUGCUUAACCCUACUCAGUCCCUUCGUAAGCGGAUCUGCUGGGUUAUCUUCUGAUGAUAUCCUCUUCACUACGAGUUGUCCUUCUUCUACACGAUGUCUAAUGAAGUGAUAUUUUCUGUCGAUAUGUCUUGAUCUACCAUGAUCCCUCGGUUCCUUGGUCAAGGCAACCGCACCUUCGUUAUCACAGAAAAUCUCCAUUGGCUCCUUUAUGGCAGGUACAACUCCAAGAUCACCGAUGAAGUUCUUUAGCCAUAUUGCCUCCUUCGACGCUUCGCUCGCUGCAAUGUACUCUGAUUCGCACGUUGAAUCAGCUACGGUUUCCUGCUUGGAACUCUUCCAUGUCACUGCUCCUCCAUUUAGGGUAAAGACCCAGCCCGACUGCGAACGGUAGUUGUCCCUGUCGGUCUGAAAACUGGCAUCACUAUACCCUCGCACCUUCAAGUCAUCACUCCCUCUAAGGAAUAAGAACCAUUCCUUCGUCCUCCAAAGGUACUUAAGUAUAUUCUUCACCGCAAUCCAAUGGGCUUUGCCAAGAUUCCCUUGAUAUCUGCUAACCAUGCUCAAAGUGAAGGCUACAUCAGGGCGAGUACAAGUCAUAGCGUACAUGAUUGAGCCAACUGCGGAAGCGUAUGGUACUCGGCUCAUUUCUGCUAUUUCAGCUUCGGUACUCGGACUUUGAGUCUUACUCAAUUUGGCAUUACUUUGUAUCGGUAAUUCUCCCUUCUUUGAGUUUUCCAUACUAAAACGUUUUAGUACCUUCUCUAAGUAAGUAUUCUGACUAAGUCCAAUUAGUCUCUUACUUCUUUCUCUUACUAUCCUUAUUCCCAAAAUGUAGGAAGCCUUUCCGAGGUCCUUCAUAGAGAGGCACUUCCCGAGCCAGGAGUUAACCUCCUGCAAAGACGGGAUGUCGUUUCCUAUGAGUAAUAUGUCAUCGACAUAUAGAACGAGGAAGCUUACUAUACUCCCACUGGCUUUGACAUAUACACAUGAUUCAUCUUCGCUUCGUACAAAUCCAAACUCUUUGACUUUCUCAUCGAAGCAAAGAUUCCAUCUGCGAGACGCUUGCUUAAGUCCAUAAAUGGACUUCUCAAGCUUACACACUCUAUUCGGAUGCUUCGGAUCCACAAACCCCUCUGGCUGAGCCAUGUAAACAUCCUCAGCCAACUUUCCGUUAAGGAAAGCGGUCUUGACAUCCAUUUGCCAAAUCUCAUAAUCAUGAAAUGCGGCAAUUGCUAGCAUCACUCUAAUAGAUUUAAUCUUCGCAACUGGUGAGAAGGUCUCAUCAUAGUCAACUCCGGGAGUUUGAGUAAAGCCCUUCGCAACCAAUCGCGCUUUAUAUGUGUGUACGUUUCCAUCCACGUCGGUCUUCUUCUUGAAGAUCCAUUUGCACCCAACGGUCUUACGUCCGGGCACGUAAUCAACCAAAUUCCAAACUUGGUUAUCAUACAUGGAUUGGAUCUCGCUAUCCAUUGCCUCUUUCCACUUUACAGACUCCGGGCCUGCCAUGGCUUCCUUAUAGCUAUUAGGUUCAUCAAGAUUUACUAGUGUACCAUCACUAAUAUACGUGUCCCCUUCGGUAGUAAUAUGAAAGCCAUAAAACUGGGGAUGAACUCUAACUCUAUCGGAACGUCUAAGAGGUAAGGAUUCGUCAAUCGGUUCAACCGGAGUUUCCUCCUCGGGUUGAGUGCCAGCGGUAGAGGUUCCUUCAUCUAUCGACUCUUGAAUCUCUUCAAGUUCGAUUUGCCUCCCACUGUCUCCUUGGCUUAUGAGUUCUCGCUCUCGGAAAACUCCUCUCCUCGCAACGAAGACAACAUUGUCCUUCGGUCUAUAGAAGAGAUAUCCAAAGGAUGUCUGCGGGUAGCCGAUGAAAAUACAUCGCUCACUUCGAGGUUCAAGCUUGUCGUGAGUAUCUCGUCUUACGAAAGCCUCGCAACCCCAAACCUUGAUAUGUGCCAACGAGGGAGCUUUCCCUGUCCACAUCUCGUGAGGUGUUUUGGCAACCUUCUUAGUAGGGACUCGGUUAAGGAUAUGGGCGGCAGUCUCUAAGGCAUACCCCCAAAAAGAGAUUGGUAGUGAAGCACGACUCAUCAUAGAGCGAACCAUAUCCAAUAAGGUUCGAUUACGCCUUUCUGCCACACCAUUCAACUGCGGUGUCCUAGGAGGCGUCAAUUGUGAAACUAUUCCACACUCCUUGAGAUAAUCGUGGAAUUCAAGACUUAGGUACUCUCCUCCUCGAUCGGAUCGAAGCAUCUUGAUUUUCCUGCCCAAUUGAUUCUCCACUUCAUU